CAGAAGGAAAGGUCUCCGUGGGGAACAGCGAGUGUCUUAUCCUUGUACGCAGGAAGCCUGGGGUUGGACUAUCGACAGGUCGGAGCCUUGCUUAAGUUCGCAUGGAUAAACUGGAACCAGAGCCCCCUGACCUUGAGUAGCUUCACACCGUGUCUCUUGGGGAAUCCUGGCAGCACAGGAGAGACCCCGAUUCUUUUUUGGGGGAACAAAGCAAGCAGGGUCUCAGGUUGGCAUUUGCAAUGUGAUAGCAGCGACUGCAAAGCCUCCCACAAUAAUCCUCAGCAGCAGACUCUGCUGAAGCCAGAGAAGCAGCGCACACCUCUCCGAGCUCACAGAACAGCUUCAUUAUCACUGCCAUACCCUGUCUGCUCCCCAUCUUGUCUGAUCAGCGGAAAACCAGCGGGGUUUGAGAUCCUGCCUUCUGCUGAGGGAGCAGCUGAACCUGAAGCAGCAAAACCUGGGGCAGCCUGGGGCUCGCAGGAGGAAUCAGAGCAGAGCUGCAGCGGAGGGACGGGGAGGUGGCUGCACGAGCCCUUGCCGUGCACAGACCCCUGGGGUAUCUUGCACUGGGAGUGCCUCAGGAGGCCAGCGAGGCUGGCAUGCGGCCGUCUGCUCCUGCUGGCCCUGCCCAGGUCCCACGCAGGCCACUUUUGUGUUUCUCCUGCAAAAUGCAUCUCAACUCCCCCUGCACUCGCUGCUCCCUCUUGGAUGCUGACUGGUGGUAAAAUGGGGUAUGAAAUUCCUGUGAAUGGGAUUCAGCUCCGGAAAGGAGCUUUGGCUCACAGCAGACAGCGAUCCGCACACAGAUCCGGGAGCUGGUUCAGCUGCAGAGCGGGGGCCCCGGCCCGUGGAGUGGCCAAGGAAGGAGGCGCAGCGCGUCCUGCUGCCCGCGCCUCCCCGCCUCGCCUCGCCGGGCCAGGCAGCGAGCUGCGGCCUGAAAUACCUGCCCGUUUGGUUCUGCAGCCACGAAGCACGAGCUUGGAGAGCUAUUCAGGGACAGAUUUUCUCAGUCUCGUCACCACAAGAGACAAAAAAGCACCCGUGGGUCAAAGCAUCCCGGCAGCCUGGGACCUGCGCUGCAGAGAGCCCUUUCUGCUGCCCCUUCCAUGUGCUUCUCCACGCUCCAGGUGCCAGGGCGGGCUCAAGGCAGGCACCGGGCAGGUCCCACAGCACGGGGCACCACGUCACCCUUGGGACAGCACCUCGGAGCAUCUGCACCUCUGCCCCGAUGCUCUCGAGGAGCGCGCAUCCCUGUCUGGGACCUGCUGCUCCCAGAUCGGUGCCCAAACGCAGGGCUCAUACCAGCCGGGGUGA
rnacentral:lncRNA from 1 species